UACGUAGGUGGCGAGCGUUGUCCGGAUUUACUGGGCGUAAAGAGCGCGCAGGCGGUCGUACAAGUCGCGUGUGAAAGCCCCCGGCUCAACUGGGGAGGGUCACGCGAUACUGUUCGACUCGAAGGCAGGAGAGGGAAGCGGAAUUCCCGGUGUAGUGGUGAAAUGCGUAGAUAUCAGGAGGAACACCUGUGGCGAAAGCGGCUCACUGGACCAUAACUGACGCUGAUGCACGAAAGCUAGGGGAGCAAACAGG
rnacentral:rRNA from 1 species